GGCCUUUUGUUAAAAAUUUAAGGUCUGGCCUGCCCACUGAGGAUUUUAAAGGCCGCGGUAACUUGACCGUGCUAAGGUAGCAUAAUCAUUAGUUUUUUAAUUGAAAGCUGGAAUGAAUGGUUGGAUGAGAAAAGGACUGUCUCUAGUUUAACUUAAGUGAAUUUUAUUUUUAAGUAAAAAAGCUUAAAUUUUUUUGAAAGACGAGAAGACCCUAUAGAGUUUUAUAAUUUUUGGGUUUUAAAUUUUUUGUAUUUUGAUUUUGUAGUUUAAGAAUUAUUUGAUUGGGGUGAUUAAAAAAUUUGAUAAACUUUUUUUAAAUCGAUACAUUGAUUUAUGAGUUCUUGAUCCAUUGUUUAUGAUUAAAAGAUUAAAUUACCUUAGGGAUAACAGCGUAAUUUUUUUUGAGAGUUCAAAUCGAAAGGAGAGAUUGCGACCUCGAUGUUGGAUUAAAAUUAAGUUUUGGUGAAGAGGCUAAAAAGGUUAGGUCUGUUCGACCUUUAAAAUUU
rnacentral:rRNA from 1 species